GUUAGCGUGGUGUAGAGCAUGUGGGGCUUUCGCCCCCAGGGCGCAGAAAUUUCUGCCGUUAACU
rnacentral:tRNA from 1 species